GUGUCAGCAGCCGCGGUAAGACGUAGGGGGCAAGCGUUGCUCGGAAUCACUGGGCUUAAAGGGCGCGUAGGCGGUUGUGUAAGUCCAGGGUUGAAGGCCCCGGCUCAACCGGGGAAAGGCCUUGGAGACUGCAUGACUUGAGUGAGCGAGGGGAGGGCGGAAUUCCUGGUGUAGCGGUGAAAUGCGUAGAUAUCAGGAGGAAGGCCUGUGGCGAAGGCGGCCCUCUGGCGCUCAACUGACGCUGAGGCGCGAAAGCGGGGGUAGCAAACAGGAUUAGAUACCCCGGUAGUCCGGGCCCUAAACGAUGAGCACUAGACGGGAGGAGUUUCGACUUCUCCGGGCGAAGCGAAAGCGUUAAGUGCUCCGCCUGGGGAGUAUGGUCGCAAGGCUGAAACUCAAAGGAAUUGGCGGGG
rnacentral:rRNA from 1 species